CACGAUUUACGCAAUUUUUUUUAUUUUCAUUUAAAAAAUCAUCAAAAUUUCAUAACCCGACAUAUACAACAGCACAUCAGCCUGUUGAUGUUCUGAUGCGAUUGAUGGUUCAACCAGUGCCUUCGGGGAAUGUCAAAGUCAAGAGGUUCGAUAUUAGGGUUCUUAAAUGAGGUGUGUCUGUGCACCUGCGAUGUGGUAUCUUAUGAUAUUGGUCAUCUUCAGCAGAAUACCUCGAUGCCAAAUGGUGUCAAAGGCAGCAAAUAGGCCAAUCCAUGCUCUGUCAAUACUGUAAAUCAGCUUCUAUGAGGGUGGUAAAGCAAACAAUCAGAUUUCAGCAGCUAUGGCCAGUUCGACAUCCGUAUUCUUUAAUACAUAGUCAGGGAUCAAUAAUGGGGGACAGUCUGCCAAUCAUGGCUCAUUCCAUUAAGCUUGGCGGUGGAGAUCAAAAGGAUGUUUGCAUAUAGUUGAAGCAUACAUCUUGUUUGUAUCUGGGUUUCAAAAUGACGAUGACUUUCGCUUCCUUCCACACUUUUGGGAUUUGGCCUGUCCUGGGUAUGAAGGUGAAGAGGGUUACAAAUCAUUGUUGUUCAUAUAGUCCUAGGUUCCUUAGGAAUUCAAGACAUAGGUCACUAUAUUCUAGAAUCUUUUUAGAUCAGGUUCGAAGCUUUUGUGACUGCAGGAAUUACUCUUUGGUUCUUUUGGUAAAGUCAAGUAGAAAAUCAAAUCAAAUAAUAAUAGAAUACGACGUUUCGGUUGCAACACAAGCAGCCAUCAUCAGGUAAGAAGGAAUGAGAAAAAACAUAGUAAUCUUGUUAUAUUUUGUGGCACUAACAGACCACUUCUAUAUCAGAUACAUUGUGUGGUCUUGUUAGAUUUGUCACUUGUAGUAGUUGUUUACGGUCAGCUUGUUUAGUAAGCUGGUCGAUUUCUGCCUUUAGAGCAUGACCACGUAUGGGGAACCACAGCUUGCACUGUAGUUUUUUUGGGCGGUCUGUGCUCUGUUGUUUUAGAUGCAGCUAUAGGUAUGCGGAGAAGCUGCACGUCUUUACGGCUGCAGUGAGUGAUGUCCAAGUCUACAGUGCAGUCUUCCCAACGUUUCCUUCCUGUAAAGUGUAGGGCCCUUUUCUUGGCCACUGGUUCUGAUGAACUCUUGAAAGAGUUACAUUUUGAUUUAAAGCUUUCUUGACUGCAGAGAUUCAUAUUCUUGGUUCUUUCAGUAAAGUUACGUAGAAGGGAAAUAAUAAAGUAAUAUAAAAGAAAGCUCACGACGUUUCGACUGCAACACAAGCAAUCAUCAUCAGGUGUGAAAUCCACAGCAAAAACAUUUUCCUGCUGUGGAUUUCUUGAAAGAGUUGUUCUGUUUCCGGUUGCCAACGUGGGGUGGAGCUUUUCCGAUGCCACCUCGCGAUAUUAUUUUGCAGUGACAUUUUCCCAACGUUUUGUUUGUGCAAGGUUUAGGAACCCUUCCACGUACAGUUAAACAAUGUGAACAGUAGUUUUUGUGUGUGGGAAAACCCCACGUAAAGUUUUUUUUGACAAAUGUAUAAUUAUGGUACCACGUUUGUCCCCCAGCACACAGUUUGCUGGCCUUGAAAAUCCAGAUUCCGCAAAUUCACAUACCUGUCAUUUUUAGUUACAUUGCACAGUAAAUUAAAGCUCCCACACCUCCACCACCUACUAUAUAACAACCACUGGUAGAGAAAGACACACGGAGCCAGCUUCACCACCAGCAGAAUUGCGGAGAGCGAGAGUAGAAGACAAUUGGACCUCAGCCCUCACAGUGGAAGCAAGGCACGCAAACGCUUCUCGAAAUAACACUUUUAAAUAAAGCGUUGUUGUUGCCAAUUCACAAACCUCUGGUGCUCAUCGGUCGUGGAGUCGCACACGUCUUAGGAGGACAGAACAUCAUCAUCGUCUCCGAACUUCAUUAUUGUUAUUAGUGUCUAUUUAGCCGACCUGUCCCCCUCGUUACGAUUCACGGGAAGAGAGGGACAGGGCGGGCCGGUGAGUUUAUUAUUGCUUUAUUUUUUGUCUUUCAUUUACCCACAAUAUUGUUUACCUUUUCUCAAACGAUCAAGUCACGGAAGCUUAGAGCAGCACUCAACUCACCCUCUGGCAAUAAACCAAGCGAGCUUUAUUGCCAUGCCCAGUAUUCAACAAUGAUACAGCCCUGCCAAUUGUUGUUCAUGCCACUACUUUCAAAAUGGGCCUUGUGCUGAACUUGUAUUUAUCACGAUUUGUGCUGUGGAUAUUAUGCCGGUAAUACUGCAAGUGCCAUAAUAAUUACAUGGGCACCAUCUGCGCUGACAUUACGGUCCAUAUUGUUAAAAUUACCAUGGAUAUUAACAACUUAUUUAAUUUAAACUUUCCACGAAAACAAUGCCUUCAAGAUAGCCUUGCAGUAUAAAAAUUAUGUGAAUACCAAAUGCGCAGAUGGUUUAAUUUAAUGUGACUAUAAUCAUAAGAUAUUUCGACUGCUCUUAAAAUGUAUAUAUACAUCUCACCUUUCAAAUUAGCUAAUUCUGUCGUUCAACGUCUAUUUUGCAUAGAGUCUGUGAAAUAUUGGUUUGUUUUGAAGAGGAGACGAUGGGUUUACUGGACUUUUUGAAGAUGGAUUUUUUUUUAUGUAAGUAUUUAUAUCAAUCAAUCAAUUAAUGAUUACUCUUUAGAAUGUAGGCAGUUAUCCAGAUGCGUUUGUAAAUGAAAUAUCCCUUGAACGUUCUCCCCGUGGUUGCGUGACAUUUUCUCAGGGUCCUCCGGUGCACGUGAUAAGCUACUUCAUUCAGAAAUCAUUUGUGGCCAGGUUGCUUCUGAGAAUAGCUACAUAGCUCAUUGGGCCUUACCUGGUAAAAUAAAAAAAGUAGUUUAGUUCAUUGCACACGUUGAACACGUUAGGCAUUUUAAUCUUUGUAACUGCAUAUCAUGGUCCACAUUAUAAAAUGCUUACUACAGGUGUUUAAUUAUUUACGAAUACUGUAUCUAAUUGAAAGGAGAGAUGACUGAGUUUGGACAGUAAACCUUGCAGGGGUUAGUCUUACCAAUUUCGGAUAAUCUUGGGGAAAAGGCCGAUGCACACGGCUAGGUCAUCUCGGAUAGGGUUAGGGGCUCAUGAUACCCAUUUCGGACAUUCUAGGAUAAAGUUGGCAUGGAUGGCUUGAUGGGACAUAUCAUGAGAAUCAAAAGGAAAAGAGGUUAUGAACAUCGAAUCAUCACGCCAGAGAUCGAGAGGCACGCCUAAAAAGAGGCGACUACAAGUGGAUAGCCAAGAUAUAAAGGACUGUGAAGUUUAGAAUCAGAAUCAGAAUAUGUAUUUAUACUGGAGGAAUCCGAUGAGCUAUGAAGCUCUGUUUCACAGAUGUCCAGUAGGGGGGGGGUCAGAAAGUUAUAACAACAAAUAAUAGGGAAAUACGAUUGGAGUGCAAAGUAUAGGAAAGGUAAAUAAACUACUAACAUAUAUUUGUGUUUAUUUUACCAGGCCAAACCCACUGACCUAUUAACUUAUUUUCAGAAGCGACCUGGCCUGGCCACACAUGAUAUCUCAACAAAGUGGCUUAUCACGUGAACAUUUAUAAGCAGCCAAAUAAUGUAAAUACUCGAAAUGCAUGUUGGUUCUAAAUGUAAAGGGAACAACUUGAGGACCCGGAGAAAAACAUCUACUCGACCACGGAGAGGGAGACAUGCAAACUCCAAACAUACAGCAGGCAUCAGGGUCGGGAUCGAACCC